rnacentral:rRNA from 1 species
CACGUAGUUGGCCGGUGCUUCUUCUGUACCUACCGUCACCACCCAUACAGGCGCUUCGUCGAUACUGAAAGAGGUUUACAACCCGAAGGCCGUCAUCCCUCACGCGGCGUUGCUGGAUCAGGCUUCCGCCCAUUGUCCAAUAUUCCCCACUGCUGCCUCCCGUAGGAGUCUGGGCCGUGUCUCAGUCCCAGUGUGGCCGGUCACCCUCUCAGGCCGGCUACCCGUCGAAGCCUUGGUAGGCCAUUACCCCACCAACAAGCUGAUAGGCCGCGAGCACAUCCCCCACCCACAAAAGUUUCCACCAGCACCCCAUGCAGGGACUGGUCGUAUCCGGUAUUAGACACCCUUUCGAGUGCUUAUCCCAGAGUGAAGGGCAGAUUACUCACGUGUUACUCACCCGUUCGCCGCUCGUGUACACCUAAGUGCCUUACCGCUCGACUUGCAUGUGUUAAGCACGCCGCCAGCGUUCGUCCUGAGCCAGGAUCAACUCU